rnacentral:rRNA from 1 species
GAUGAACGCUAGCGGCAGGCCUAAUACAUGCAAGUCGGACGGGAUCGGGGAGCUUGCUCCCCGUGAGAGUGGCGCACGGGUGCGUAACACGUAUGUAACCUACCUUUAUCAGGGGGAUAGCCUCUCGAAAGAGAGAUUAACACCGCAUAACAUCACAUGAUAGCAUUAUCGAGUGAUCAAAUAUUCAUAGGAUAAAGAUGGGCAUGCGGGACAUUAGCUAGUUGGAGGGGUAACGGCCCACCAAGUCGACGAUGUCUAGGGGAUCUGAGAGGAUGACCCCCCACACUGGUACUAAGACACGGACCAGACUCCUACGGGAGGCAGCAGUAAGAAAUAUUGGUCAAUGGACGGAAGUCUGAACCAGCCAUGCCGCGUGCAGGAGGACGGCCCUACGGGUUGUAAACUGCUUUUGUACCGGAAUAAACCCUUUUACGUGUAAGAGGCUGAAUGUACGGUAAGAAUAAGGAUCGGCUAACUCCGUGCCAGCCGCCGCGGUAAUAC